UACAGAGGGGGCAAGCGUUGUUCGGAAUUACUGGGCGUAAAGGGCGCGUAGGCGGCCUGCUAAGUCGAACGUGAAAUCCCCGAGCUCAACUCGGGAACUGCGUCCGAUACUGGCAGGCUUGAAUCCGGGAGAGGGAUGCGGAAUUCCACGUGUAGCAGUGAAAUGCGUAGAUAUGUGGAGGAACACCGAUGGCGAAGGCAGCCCCCUGGGCUAACACUGACGCUCAUGCACGAAAGCGUGGGGAGCAAACAGG
rnacentral:rRNA from 1 species